AGCAAAACCCUCCGGCAUCUUUCUGGAUCUUUCUGGCAUUUCUCUGGGGAAUGUACGAUUUCAGUUGAUUCCGGCAAAUUAAUGGCAACGUGGGAAUAAUGCCAGAGAUAUUCUGGCUUUUCACUGGAAUGCCACCCAAAUAACAAAAUCGGUGGUGCAGGAGGGCGGAGCUACAGAUACUUUAUGGUUCUUUCCCGGCAAGUUGGAAUAUUACCAGAAAACAUUUUGUUCGGGUGGGGGGGCUUUUUUUUAAACCUAGGGCCCAAGGCAAAGAUGACAGCGGCCCUGCCCUACGGAGACGGUUGACACGCAUGCUCAUUUAGGUGAGACCGACUUCAUCCUAGGAAACUUUUCGGCGGGACAGUUACAGUAGUCUAGUAACGAACCUGGACUCGAUCUACUACUGAACUAGGAUAUUGUGCUGUGUAAAUAAUUUGCAUUGAGGAGAGUCCAUCAGCUCACUAACACGGGUGAGGGACAGGGACCAAAGAGGAGGCUCUACAACAUGAGGAAAGACGGCGAUCCUCAAGCAGUCAGUCCAUGAGCCCACGUCUUCAGGCCAGGGGCCCGAGAGAAAUUUCCAGUGACAUGGAUCAACAGAGAUCCUCAAACAGUCAGUCCAUGUGCCACGUUCCAGCCAGGGACCAAAAGGGGGACUUUCGUCAUGGGGCCAGACAGACAUCCUCAAGCAGUAAGUUGAUUUACAUGGAUGCAUUCUGAAGUUGAAUUGAAGUAGUUAUAUUGUUGUACGCUGGCUACUAUUCAAUGUGUCAAAGUGAAAUGUAUUAAUUGUUGUCCCAUGAAAAAAUGAACUGUAUCAAAUCUCAAUGUAUCGUUCCAGGGAUAAGAGUUCAAGAAUGUUGUUGCAGGUGAAAUGAUCAUUGAAAUUUGCUGAUUCAAUGCCAUUUUUGUAUCUUUACUUUUUGGAGAAAUAGAGAGAUGCAUCCAGGCCACCCACUAGGAGGUGGAAAAUCGUACGAAGAGGUGGCUGUACCUGGCAGCAGACUGAGAUGGGGUGAGGAAGAGAAGCACAGACCAAGAACGGAAUGUCAGACAUUUGCCCUUUUCAUGCCCAGCACACACAGACACACACACACACACACACACACACACACACACCAGCAUAUAAACAUGCACAUAGACACAGGCGCACGUGCACACACAUACACAGACUCUCAAACAAGAUGAGUCUCUGGUGAUGUUGGCAAA